UCCGGUUUGGCACCGGCAGUCUCCCCAGAGUUCCCGGCAUGACCCGCUGGCAACUGAGGACAAGGGUUGCGCUCGUUGCGCCACUUAAGGCAACACCUCACGGCACGAGCUGACGACAGCCAUGCACCACCUGUGCAGGCUCCGUAGAGCGCCGGCUUUCACCGGCUUUACCCUGCAUGUCAAGCCCAGGUAAGGUUCUUCGCGUCGCAUCGAAUUAAGCCGCAUGCUCCACUGCUUGUGCGGGUCCCCGUCAAUUCCUUUGAGUUUUAGCCUUGCGGCCGUAGUCCCCAGGCGCCCUGUUUAACGCGUUAACUGCGGCACUCAACUAACACCUUAACACUCCCGAAGGAGAAUCUCAGUGUAUAGUCAAACACCUAACAGGGAUUGUUUACAGCGUGGA
rnacentral:misc_RNA from 1 species